AAAUACCCCAAAAUUUUCCUACUCUCCAAUCCCUCUUCUCAUCCUCACGCCAUUUAGAGAAGAUGAAGUUAUUAUCACGGUUGGGUCUCCAUCCUCACGCCUCUUUUCAUAGUUGCCUCUCUCCACUAAAAAUUUUCAUCUUCCUCUGAUUUGAGCCUUUUGUAACCCUAAUUUGGCAGAUUUUGGGUCCUGUCGUCUUUAAGGUAUGCCCACUUCCUUACUAUUUAUACAAUUCUUAUUCCCUUCUUCCUUAGAAAAAUCUUAAUUGACAGUCUUAGGCUUUUGUUCACCGUGAAGAUUGCAAGAAUAGUGAACAGAUUUCUCAUAUCGUACCAAGUAGAUUGUAGAAGGGUUUGAAUUCUUUCUGUAAGUCGUCUGUUAUUCUUCUGCAGUGAUUUAGUUUGUUUACAUGAAUUUAACAUUGAUUUCAGGCCAAAGUUCAAGAGCUAACUGAACAUAUUUUGAAAAGUCACAUUCCUCGAUCAGUGACUGUUCAUUUUAGAGAACUUACCAGGAAGGUUGGUGAUAUUUGACUUUUCUAAUUUUUUUCCAAAGGAACCAUCUCAUAAUUUGCAUGUAUAGCUACAGAAUUCCUGUUCAUAGCAUUUGGGGCUAGACUGGAUUCUUUAUUAUGCUG
rnacentral:lncRNA from 1 species